AGUGAACGCUGGCGGCAGGCCUAACACAUGCAAGUCGAGCGGCAGCGCGGGGGCAACCCUGGCGGCGAGCGGCGGACGGGUGAGGAAUUCGUCGGAAUCUGCCUUUUUGUGGGGGAUAACGUAGGGAAACUUACGCUAAUACCGCAUACGUCCUACGGGAGAAAGUGGGGGACCGCAAGGCCUCACGCAGAAAGAUGAGCCGACGACCGAUUAGCUAGUUGGUGGGGUAAAGGCCCACCAAGGCGACGAUCGGUAGCUGGUCUGAGAGGAUGAUCAGCCACACUGGGACUGAGACACGGCCCAGACUCCUACGGGAGGCAGCAGUGGGGAAUAUUGGACAAUGGGCGCAAGCCUGAUCCAGCCAUGCCGCGGGUGUGAAGAAGGCCUUCGGGUUGUAAAGCACUUUUGUCCGGAAAGAAAUCCCUGGAGCUAAUACCUUCGGGGGAUGACGGUACCGGAAGAAUAAGCACCGGCGAACUUCGU
rnacentral:rRNA from 1 species